rnacentral:misc_RNA from 1 species
AGGCCCUUUCAAAAACGAACUCAAAAAGGAGCGCAACAUCGGCAAGAAAACACACAGACGCACACAGCACGUGCAUCUACUCCCGCCCCUCUUUCUCUCUCUUCCCCCCCCCCCCUGCCCAGUCGUCACACCCCCACCACCUGCACGCGUCGCAUCCAACAAUGCUGCGUGCCACCCUCACUCGCCUGGAGAUGGCCCCCAAGGUCACGCACAUCCAGGACAAGUUGCUGAUCAACGGCAAGUUCGUGCCGGCGGUAUCUGGUAAGACAUUCGAGGUUGUGAACCCCGCGGAUGAAAAGGUGAUCGCGAACGUCGCGGAGGCCGAAAAGGCAGACGUGGACCUUGCCGUGAAGGCUGCCCGCCACGCCUUUGAGUCCUUCCGCAUGACCGACGGCCACUGGCGCCGCAAUCUGAUGCUGCGCCUGGCGGACAUCCUGGAGAAGAACAGCAAAGAGAUGGCUGCGCUGGAGAGCCUGGACAAUGGCAAGCCGUACGAGGUGGCACUGAACGUGGACGUGGCGCUUUCGGUGGAGUGCUUCCGGUACUGCGCUGGACUCGCGGACAAGGUGAAUGGCUCCGUGCCGCCGCGCUCUGGCAACUUCCUCGGCAUUGUGAAGCGCCAGCCAAUCGGCGUGUGCGGCCAGAUCAUCCCUUGGAACUUCCCGCUUCUGAUGGCUGCGUUCAAGCUCAGCCCUGCACUUGCAUUGGGCAACACGGUUGUGCUGAAGCCCGCGGAGCAGACGCCGCUGAGUGCGCUGCGCCUUGGCGAGAUGGCGAUGGAGGCUGGAUACCCGGACGGCGUGCUGAACAUCUUGCCGGGCUUCGGCGCGACCGCAGGCGCGGAUAUUGCGCGCCACAUGGACGUGGACAAGGUUGCCUUUACGGGCUCGACAGCUGUUGGCCACCAGGUGAUGCGGAUGGCGGCGGAGACCAACCUGAAGAAGGUGUCUCUGGAGCUUGGCGGCAAGUCUGCGCUGAUCGUGUGCGAGGACGCCGACUUGGAGGAGGCGGCGCAGGUCGCGACGACCGGUGUCUACUUCAACACGGGCCAGGUGUGCACGGCGUCGUCGCGCAUUUAUGUACACGAGUCUGUGUACGACGAGUUCGUGUCGCGUCUGCGCAAGAACGCGGAGGCGCGCAGGGUGGGACCAGGCAACGACACGGCGAACAACAUGGGCCCAUUGGUGUCGAAGAAGCAGCACGAGCGGGUGCUCAUGUACAUCGAGGACGGUGUGAAGGCUGGCGCGACGGUGGUGACUGGCGGCAAGAGGAUCGGCGACAAGGGCUAUUUCGUGCAGCCGACCAUAUUUUCGGAAGUGAAGGAGGACAUGCGGAUCUGCAAGGAGGAGAUCUUUGGCCCCGUAACGUGCGUGAUGAAGUUCAAGGACAUGGACGAGGCCGUGAAGCGCGCGAACAACAGUAUCUACGGGCUGGCUGCUGGCAUCUGUACGCGCAGCAUGGACACUGCGCUCCGCUAUUCGACAUACCUCAACGCCGGCACGGUGUGGGUGAACACCUGGAACGACUUCUGCGUCUCCAUGCCGUUUGGCGGCUUCAAGCAGAGCGGCAUUGGUCGGGAGCUGGGCAAGGAAGUCAUCGACAUGUACACGGAGCCGAAGGCGAUCCACUUUGCCCUCAAGGGGCCCAUUGUCAAGCCGUGAGGAGUGCGCGAGCAGAGGGUGCGUCUCCAUCCUCCCUCCACCGCUCUCUGUGCGUUAUUCACCUUGCUUCCGCCCCUUCAGCGGUGUGCGAGAGAGGGUGGUGGGGGGGGGGGCGGUCUUUGCGCACACCCAUGCGCGCCUGCUGUGUGUCCACUCGCACUGCUGCGUGGGACUGUUGCGAGGGGUCUGUGCACCACCCUUUUCUCCUUUUCCUGCCUUAUUGCUAGCGCACAGUGGGGCGUGCGAGUGCGUGCCUGAGUGUGGGCUGCGCUUCAGCUCCGUUGCACUUCUUUUUUUCUUCUACAGGAGGUGCCGAUGGCGCCGGGGAGGAGAGGACGAAGCCCGAGAAAGUAGCCGGUGCGCACCGGCGGACACCCAGAGGAAGGGCGAUGACGGAAGCAGCGUGCCGUGCGACACGCGCUUUUCGCACCCCCACGCCUGCUGAAGCAGGGGAGUGCUCGCUGCUGCUGCUGCUGCUGCUGCUCUUUUUCCUCCCCUCACCCCUCGCUGCCUCCCUCGUGGUGACACCUUCACUGCAUGGGGCGCGCUUCUCAUCCUGUUUUUUUUUUUUCGCUCCACAGCGUGCGUGCACGUACGAUAAAACUGCCAGUGACGGUGGCGUUUUCGUGCGGAAGCUCCUCACGCGUGCUUUGAGCCGGUGCUGACAUCAGCCCCCCCACCCCCUCCUUGCCUACUCGCCCUUCGGCUGGUUAGGCGCAAGCACACAGGCGCACGCACACAGUGCUCGUGGCCCUCGUUUUUCCCGUUAUGUUUUUAUCUUUUCCCUUUUUUGUUUCGUUUCAUGUUCCGCGUUACGGUUUCGUGUGCUGUUCGUCUGCACGUCACGCUAUGAUAUCUCUCUAUAAAAAAACUAUCUAAUCGGUUGACUAUUCUCUUCAAGCCCGCCGUCCACCACCAGCACCACCAUCACACCCACCCACCCACCCACACACACACACACACACACACACAGACACACAGACAUAAGCCAGACGGCGUGCUUGCUUCAGAUAUCGUUCAUCAUGCACCCUUUCCUGCGUAUUUUCGUGUCCACGGACCACCCCGCUUGGUCUCUGUCUUUUCGCGGUCAUGUCACGUUCUGUUAUCGCUGAGAUCUGUGGUGUUGUCUUACCCUGUACCGACCCCUUGCCUUCUAUGCUUUUUCUUCUUUCAUCUUUUUGCGCUCCCAAGACGUUUAGGCCCUGAGGAUGCCAUCCACCUCGCCCUGGUAUCAGGGCCUAGUAUCCCCACACUCUUCGUGUCGGCGGACAGGUCUGGGCUGGUGCUGUGCCGAAGAGACCUGCAGUCAUGACCACGCUUGGAGCAGCUCACUGCGUAUUGUGUCGACGCUUCAACGAAUGCUCGCAUGCACCUCCUGUUUUCUGCUUUAGCUGCGUUGUGGCAAUGCCGAGCGUAAUCCUGGGCCCACCCUGCGCUGCUCGCAGCGACAUUGCAGUGGGGGUGGGGGUGAGGGGCCGAAACGACAUCGAGCGAUGUUGGCUUGGCCCGAUGCGCUUGGCUUAGCCGUAGUGCCGCAGAGGUCGAUGAGCUGUGGUGUUGCCAUGCGUGUGUGCGUAUGUGGUUGACCUGUUCGAAUGUGGGCACGUUGCCAAAAAAAAAAUGAAAAACGAAUUUGUUUUUGCCUUCUCUCUCGAUUACAGCAGCACAGAAAGAAUUGUGGCAGAGUGAGAGAGCGCGCGCGCGAGAUGGGCGCUGGCGAAGGCAUAUGUGCGUGUCGUUGCGGGCCUGUUUCGCAAAGGAAGCGUUGCGCACUGAGGCGAGAGGGACACGGAGAGGUGAGCGUCGAGUAUCAGCCUAUCAACAAGGAUGCGACAAUAAUGCUCACCGUGCUAUCGUUAGUGCCCCUUUUAGUAGACGAGCGUGUUGGAGCUGAGCGCAUGGCGAACGUCAUGGAUACACCUCAAGCCCAGGGCGGACACCGCGCUGAUAUACGGCGACACACACGCACAAGAGUGCAGCCGUGAAGCGUGUGGACCACUUCAGCAUCUCGCUCGCGCUCUCUCUGCGGCUUUUGGUGCACUUUUCUUUCGGCUGCGCGUGUGUGCUGGUAUGCGUUGCACGCUCCUGAACGCGUUUUCCCCGUAACACAGACACGUCUACACAUAGAUAUACUUCAUAUACAUAUAUACAUAUAUGUGUACGUGUGUCGGUGUGUACAUGCACUUGGCGUACUUGCGCGCUGUCUUUUUUUUUGCAUUGUGCUGAUGACGCCUGAUCCGGAC